AGGGCACAUGGCGGAUGCCUUGGCUCUCGGAGGCGAUGAAGGACGUGAUAAGCUGCGAUAAGCUGCGGGUAGGUGCAAAUGACCUUUGAUCCGCGGAUUUCCGAAUGGGACAACCCGGUACUUUGAAGAAGUAUCAUCCUGCAUUGCAGGAGGCUAACGCAGGGAACUGAAACAUCUUAGUACCUGCAGGAAAAGAAAAUAAACAAUGAUUCCCCCAGUAGUGGCGAGCGAACGGGGAAUAGCCCAAACCAUCCAUGUUACGGCAUGGGUGGGGUUGUAGGACCACGCCGUGGCAAGAAAGUUGGUGAGCAGAAUGUUCUGGAAAGUACAGCCAUAGAGCAUGAGAGCUGCGUAUGCGAAGCCAAGCGAAGCCUAGUGGUAUCCUGAGUAGCGCGGAGCACGAGGAAUUCUGCGUGAAUCUGCCGGGACCAUCCGGUAAGGCUAAAUACUCCCGAGAGACCGAUAGUGAACCAGUACUGUGAAGGAAAGGUGAAAAGCACUUCGAACAGAAGAGUGAAAUAGUUCCUGAAACCAUGUGCCUACAAGCGGUCGGAGCACCUUUUGGUGUGACGGCGUGCCUUUUGCAUAAUGAACCUACGAGUUACUUUUUCCGGCGAGGUUAAGGAUUUCAGAUCUGCAGCCGAAGCGAAAGCGAGUCUGAACAGGGCGUAUAGUCGGAAGGAGUAGACGCGAAACCAAGUGAUCUACCCUUGGGCAGGUUGAAGGAUGGGUAACACCAUCUGGAGGACCGAACCAAUAAGCGUUGAAAAGCUUCUGGAUGACCUGAGGGUGGGGGUGAAAGGCUAAUCAAACUUGGAGAUAGCUCGUACUCCCCGAAAUGCAUUUAGGUGCAGCCUUGACUUAUACUGGCAUGAGGUAGAGCGACUGAUAAGAUGCGAGGGCUUCACCGCCUAUCAAGUCUUGACAAACUCCGAAUGCGUGUCAGUUCUAUGUCAGGAGUGAGGGCAUGGGUGCUAAGGUCCAUGUCCUAAAGGAGAACAAUCCGGACCAACAGCUAAGGUCCCGAAAUGAAUACUAAGUUGAACUAACGAAGUCAGAUUGCUAAGACAGCUAGGAUGUUGGCUUGGAAGCAGCCAUUCAUUUAAAGAGUGCGUAACAGCUCACUAGUCGAGGAGUUUGGCGUGGAUAAUAAUCGGGCAUAAGUAUUCUACCGAAGCUUUGGGAUGAGAAAUCAUCGGUAGGGGAGCAUUCCACUCUGCGUCGAAGGUGAGGCGCGAGCCUUGCUGGAGCGUGUGGAAAAGCAAAUGUAGGUAUAAGUAACGAUAAAGGGGGUGGGAAACCCCCUCGCCGAAAGACUAAGGUUUCCUGAUCAACGCUAAUCGGAUCAGGGUAAGUCGGGUCCUAAGGCUCAGCCGAACGGCGAGGCCGAUGGCAGAACCGGUUAAUAUUCCGGUACUACCUGUGGGAGUGACGUGGAGACGGAGUCGUGACAGCGCCGCGGACUGACGGAAUAGUCCGUUGAAGGGUGUAGAUGCUGAUUGUUCCAGGCAAAUCCGGAGCAAGAGUCGAACCUGACAGUAUGGAGCGUUCUUAGAACAAUCCAAUAGUGCGUGUAAUCAUACUUCCAAGAAAAUCCGCUAAACUUAAUCCUGCAGGUACCCGUACCGCAAACGGACACACGUAGUCGGGUUGAAUAUACUAAGGCGCUUGAGUGAUUCACGGUUAAGGAACUAGGCAAAUUGACCCUGUAACUUCGGGAUAAAGGGUCCCAACGAGAGUUGGGCGCAGAGAAUAGGUCCAGGCAACUGUUUAACAAAAACACAGGGCUGUGCAAAAUUGAAAGAUGAAGUAUACAGCCUGACACCUGCCCGGUGCUGGAAGGUUAAGAGGAGAUGUCAUCGCAAGAGAAGCAUUGAAUUGAAGCCCCAGUAAACGGCGGCCGUAACUAUAACGGUCCUAAGGUAGCGAAAUUCCUUGUCGGGUAAGUUCCGACCUGCACGAAUGGUGUAAUGAUCUGGACACUGUCUCAACCGUGAGCUCAGUGAAAUUGUAGUAUCGGUGAAGAUGCCGAUUACCCGCGAUGGGACGAAAAGACCCCGUGAACCUUUACUAUAGCUUAACAUUGAAUUUGGGUAAUUGAUGUGUAGGAUAGGCCGGAGACUUUGAAGCAGGUACGCCAGUAUUUGUGGAGUCGCUGUUGAAAUACGGCCCUUUGAUUAUUUGAGUUCUAACUCGUAGAUACGAGGACACUGUUUGGUGGGUAGUUUGACUGGGGUGGUCGCCUCCAAAAGUGUAACGGAGGCUUCUAAAGGUGCCCUCAGGACGAUUGGUAACCGUCCGUAGAGUGUAAUGGCAUAAGGGCGCUUGACUGGGAGACAGACAAGUCGAUCAGGUAGGAAACUAGAGCAUAGUGAUCCGGUGUUUCCGUAUGGAAGGGACAUCGCUCAAAGGAUAAAAGGUACUCCGGGGAUAACAGGCUGAUCCCUCCCA
rnacentral:rRNA from 1 species